GGGGAUGUAAACUCAGUGGAGGGGCAUUUGCUGUACAUGCAGAAGAUCCCAGGGUCAAUUCUUGGCAUCUCCA